rnacentral:sRNA from 1 species
UGAGCUGAGGGGGCAUAUUGGCGUAUUUGAUGAUAAAGGUGCGUAUUUGAUGAUAAAGGUGCGUAUUUGAUGAUAAAGGUGUGUAUUUGGAUGAAUUGGAUGAUAUUUGAAUGAUUCUAGAGAUACAUGGAUAUUUUGGUUAUUUUUGCGGUGUUUUGCUAUUAUUUUUCAGGGGGUGGCAGAAAAUUCUGUUUUCGCAAGCUUUACGUCCGCCACAAUACAGCUAGAAGAAAUAAAAUAAAAAAAAAAAAAAAAAAAAAAAAAAACAGGCAAAGCCUCCGUCCUAGAAAUCCUGACAAUAAAAAUCACAAAUACCUGUUCCCUCGUCACCAAUAACUCAAAACCAUCGCCUCAACUUACUCUCCGGCUUCCGAUUCAUCUUCCCAUUCUUCUCAUCCUCCUCCUCCGCAAGCCGCAGCGUUUCCUCCGUGAUAAGUAAAUCCCGUUCAAUGAGUUCUGCCCAAUUCUGCAAGUCCCCCACUUCGUUUAGGCCCUUUCUACCCAUAUCAGCCAGUUUCUCCAAUUCCUUUGACUGCCUCGCGAGAUCUUGGGUCGUUUUCUUCAGUUUCUCCUCCUGCUUCUUGAUGGCAUUGUCAUUGUCGUGAAGUGCCUGCGCACGCAUACGCAGGUCGGCAUCCAAGUUUGUUCCGACAGAAGUCAGAGAGGCAGUGAAGGCGGCCUUUGCUUCGGUUGUUUCUUGUGUAUGCGCGGUGGCCAUAGAGGUGGAUGGAGAGGAGUCGUUCAUGGCUUUAUAUAUCCAGUUAUUUCCCUAGUUUUGAAUGGAAAGAUUUAUGGAUUGGUUGGUUCUCCGGUUGUAGGGUUUUGAUGCACUAUAUAUAUCCUUCGGAUAUUGCAGAAAGUGUGUGCCCAACAGAACUCCUUGAUCAAAAGCGAAUUUUGAAGAU